UUAAAUUGAAGAGUUUGAUCAUGGCUCAGAUUGAACGCUGGCGGCAGGCCUAACACAUGCAAGUCGAACGGUAACAGGAAGAAGCUUGCUUCUUUGCUGACGAGUGGCGGACGGGUGAGUAAUGUCUGGGAAACUGCCUGAUGGAGGGGGAUAACUACUGGAAACGGUAGCUAAUACCGCAUAACGUCGCAAGACCAAAGAGGGGGACCUUCGGGCCUCUUGCCAUCGGAUGUGCCCAGAUGGGAUUAG
rnacentral:rRNA from 1 species